UACGGGGGGGCAAGCGUUGUUCGGAAUUACUGGGCGUAAAGGGCUCGUAGGCGGCCAACUAAGUCGGACGUGAAAUCCCUCGGCUUAACCGAGGAACUGCGUCCGAUACUGGAUGGCUUGAGUUCGGGAGAGGGAUGCGGAAUUCCAGGUGUAGCGGUGAAAUGCGUAGAUAUCUGGAGGAACACCGGUGGCGAAGGCGGCAUCCUGGACCGACACUGACGCUGAGGAGCGAAAGCCAGGGGAGCAAAGCGGG
rnacentral:rRNA from 1 species